UGUGUAUCAGUACAUGGCAUAUCAAUAAGCGGAGGAAAAGAAACUAACAAGGAUUCCAUUAGUAACGGCGAGUGAAGCGGGAGGAGCUCAAAUUUGAAAUCUUCAAGGUUUUACCUUGACGAAUUGUAGUUUAAAGAAGUGUUUUCUGUUGAAGUUUUGGUAAAAGUUCUUUGGAAUAGGACAUCAUAGAGGGUGAGAAUCCCGUAUUUGACCAUUAUUUUCAGCUGUGUGAUACACUUUCAAAGAGUCGGAUUGUUUGGGAAUGCAGUCCAAAAUGGGUGGUAAAUUUCAUCUAAGGCUAAAUAUUGGCGAGAGACCGAUAGCGAACAAGUACCGUGAGGGAAAGAUGAAAAGAACUUUGAAAAGAGAGUUAAACAGUACGUGAAAUUGUCAAAAGGGAAGCGUUUGACACCAGUGUUGUUUUCUCGAAAAUCAAUUAAAAAAGGCCGGAUUUUGUGUUGUAUUGACCUUAAAAGCUUUCUUCACUCUUUUCUUGUCUUUUUUAAUGCACUUUUCGUUUAACAAGUCAACAUCAGUUUCUUUUGUUGUAAAAGGGUCAUUGGAAGGUGGCUUUCUUUUCGGAGAAAGUGUUUAUAGCCUUUGAUCUCUGCAACCGGAGAGACUGAGGUCUGCAGCGUAGACUCUUCGGGGUUAGAUACAUUUGUGCUAAGCUAUAGCUUUUUAUAGACAACUUGUUGACUAUAUUUAGUCUUGUGGCUUACUCGCUUAUGCUAUUUUACCUACGCUUAGGAUGUUGACAGCAGUAUAGACUGU
rnacentral:rRNA from 1 species